rnacentral:lncRNA from 1 species
AAUUAAAUUUAUUUUUAACAAUAUACCACAAGCCAAGCCUUUAUGAUGAAUUUUAUUUUUCUCAACUUCGCUUGUAUGCAUAAAAGGACUAAGAAGCCAAACAUAAUUUACUACGGGUGAUUGCGAUUAUCAACUUUUAAUAUUGUAAUUUAUUUUCUUUUGAAGUUAAAAAUAUCCUAUAAUUACCCAAGCCGGGCCUCGUUCUACACUAAUCUUCUGCACGUGGUCGAUGUUCAAUUAAGUUUCUAGAUCCCCAAAGUCGGCAUGCACAACACAUAAGUUCUAGUAAUGCAUCUUAGUUUCUAGAUCCCCUUUACAAGUUACAUCAGUUAAGAAUUGUGUAUUCAAUCACAGAGAACAUACGGAAGGUAACUAAAUGCAUAGAUUUGAACAAAGCUUUACUUUGCGAAAAGACAUGUGAACAUCUGUGAUUUACAAUAAUGUUCAGCAUAAAAAAAAAUUUUUUUUAAUCGGCAAGUCGCAAUAAUUAAACCUCGCAUUUUUGCCUGUGGUCGGCACAUCGCAAUAAUAAAUGCACGCAAUAAUUUCUGAAUUUACAGUACUCUCAUCCUCGUCUUCCAUGUAAUUAGGUACGAACUUACAUAGGUUUAUGUACUUGUUAAAGAUAAAAAAAAAUCCAUAUGAAGUAGUUCUUGUACAUUGACGGUUAGAUGCUCAUUGGCAGCUAAGACAACACCAAACUUAAACUGAAUACCAUCUAAAAAUGUGAUUGAAGUAGUGAAAAAGACAGAAGGAAUGACAAACAAUAAGAUAGGCGGAC